rnacentral:rRNA from 1 species
AUUGAACGCUGGCGGCAGGCCUAACACAUGCAAGUCGAGCGGAUGAAGGGAGCUUGCUCCUGGAUUCAGCGGCGGACGGGUGAGUAAUGCCUAGGAAUCUGCCUGGUAGUGGGGGAUAACGUCCGGAAACGGGCGCUAAUACCGCAUACGUCCUGAGGGAGAAAGUGGGGGAUCUUCGGACCUCACGCUAUCAGAUGAGCCUAGGUCGGAUUAGCUAGUUGGUGGGGUAAAGGCCUACCAAGGCGACGAUCCGUAUCUGGUCUGAGAGGAUGAUCAGUCACACCGGAACUGAGACACGGUCCAGACUCCUACGGGAGGCAGCAGUGGGGAAUAUUGGACAAUGGGCGAAAGCCUGAUCCAGCCAUGCCGCGUGUGUGAAGAAGGUCUUCGGAUUGUAAAGCACUUUAAGUUGGGAGGAAGGGCAGUAAGUUAAUACCUUGCUGUUUUGACGUUACCAACAGAAUAAGCACCGGCUAACUUCGUG